rnacentral:rRNA from 1 species
CAGUAGCCACGGUAAUACGAAGGGUGCAAGCGUUAAUCGGAAUUACUGGGCGUAAAGCGUGCGUAGGCGGUUUGUUAAGUCUGCUGUGAAAUCCCCGGGCUCAACCUGGGAAUGGCAGUGGAUACUGGCAAGCUAGAGUGUGUCAGAGGAUGGUGGAAUUCCCGGUGUAGCGGUGAAAUGCGUAGAGAUCGGGAGGAACAUCAGUGGCGAAGGUGGCCAUCUGGGACAACACUGACGCUGAGGCACGAAAGCGUGGGGAGCAAACAGGAUUAGAUACCCCAGUAGUCCCUGUCUCUUAUAC